AUGAGCACCAGGUCAUUUCUCUGUAAAAGGACCCAUGAGCACCAGGUCAUUUCUAUGUAAAAGGACCCAUGAGCACCAGGUCAUUUCUAUGUAAAAGGACCCAUGAGCACCAGGUCAUUUCUAUGUAAAAGGACCCAUGAGCACCAGGUCAUUUCUAUGUAAAAGGACCCAUGAGCACCAGGUCAUUUCUAUGUAAAAGGACCCAUGAGCACCAGGUCAUUUCUAUGUAAAAGGACCCAUGAGCACCAGGUCAUUUCUAUGUAAAAGGACCCAUGAGCACCAGGUCAUUUCUAUGUAAAAGGACCCAUGAGCACCAGGUCAUUUCUAUGUAAAAGGACCCAUGAGCACCAGGUCAUUUCUAUGUAAAAGGACCCAUGAGCACCAGGUCAUUUCUAUGUAAAAGGACCCAUGAGCACCAGGUCAUUUCUAUGUAAAAGGACCCAUGAGCACCAGGUCAUUUCUAUGUAAAAGGACCCAUGAGCACCAGGUCAUUUCUAUGUAAAAGGACCCAUGAGCACCAGGUCAUUUCUAUGUAAAAGGACCCAUGAGCACCAGGUCAUUUCUAUGUAAAAGGACCCAUGAGCACCAGGUCAUUUCUAUGUAAAAGGACCCAUGAGCACCAGGUCAUUUCUAUGUAAAAGGACCCAUGAGCACCAGGUCAUUUCUAUGUAAAAGGACCCAUGAGCACCAGGUCAUUUCUAUGUAAAAGGACCCAUGAGCACC